UACGGAAGGGGCAAGCGUUGUUCGGAAUCAUUGGGCGUAAAGGGCGCGUAGGUGGUUUUGUGUGUCUACCGUGAAAGCGCGCGGCUUAACCGCGUUCCGUCGGUAGAAACUGCAGAACUUGAGACUGGGAGGGGCUGGUGGAAUUCCCUGUGUAGCGGUGGAAUGCGCAGAUAUCAGGAGGAACACCGAUGGCGAAGGCAGCCCCCUGGGUCAAGAUUGACGCUCAUGCACGAAAGCGUGGGGAGCAAACAGG
rnacentral:rRNA from 1 species